AGCACCAGCGGGGGUUGGCUAAGUGAGUGGCUGGGGCCAGGCCCGCCCAAGACACCAAAACAGUCAGCCUGACCAGAAGAGCCACUUGUUUAUAGAGGGACAUCCCUCAGGCAUCCCAAAGGCUUUGGGCCUUUUCAAUGGAUGUUUAUAAAAGGAAGCUCAAAGGCCCUUUAUCUCUUGUGAGAAAACAACAGCCAAGGUCUGUACUAAAAAUGGCACAGAAGGAAGCAAAAACUCUUUCUGCAAAAGUUACACUAAGUACCAAUCAGUUCUGCAGUGGAUAUCCGGUGUCCUCUAAUCCGGUUAAGUUCUGACACUUGCUCUCUAGAGGAAGCAUCAGAUUCCAUGGAUUGGACACUCAAACCCCUAGACCAUCCCUCUCUUCAUAUGCCAGUCACAAGACCCAGCUCGUAACCUGUGCUUCUGAUCAACUGGCUAGCUGCCAAUCAAGAUCCUACAACCUCUCCACCACUUGAGCUUUUUUUGCUGGGCAGCUCAGGGAAGUACUUACACUCUCGGGUUUACUAUAAAGCAUAUCACAGAGGUUACAGGAGCUGCACAGUGUGAGGUCUAGAAGCUUCCAUGCCCUCUGUUGGUGCAAGGCCCUGGUGAUUCUCUAAAUCCUAUCCUUUUGAGCAUGAAGAGCUCCCUACACAGGCAUGCUUGAAGCAUCAACAGCUGCGUUGAAAUGUGAUUGAACAAAGAGGAUACCAUCCAAUGCUUGAGCCAUGGGUUUCUGUGAGGGCCACGCGUCCUGUUUACAGAAUGGUUUCCAAGUCACCGGCCACACCGAGACUCAGGUCUGACUUCACAUCCUCUUCCUGAAGGGAGCCCCCACAAGCCUUCCUUUUUUGGUGCUAUAAGCGGAGAAUCUGAACUUUGUACUCUGGAAUCUUGGGGUUUCCUCGACUUUUGACCUGAGAUCAUGGUUGGAAAUCAAAAGCCAGCAUGUCUGACUCCCGUUCUCCCACAGGGAGAACUCACAGGGUCUUUGGGCUAGAGGCAAGGGUCUCCAGGCAAUCAGCCAUACCAGGGUGUCUUUUCCACCUCUCUUGACAUAAUACCCAACCAUCAAAGGAGGAAAAUUCAGUAUCAUCCAGCCGGUCUCCCAGCACCAGAAGAGACUGCACAUCUGGGGGGUUUCCAUGGCAUUUCAAGGGAAGUUCUCCACAGCAUCACAGGCACACCUGCUCAGCUUGCCCUAGCUGACCAGCCCUACAAGGAAAAUCAGUGCCAUGAAAAACUGAGUCCCUUCAAGGUCCUCCAAGCCUGUUUGUAUAGAAUCUGCUUCGUGUUUCUUAAGUGCCUGGGAUUUGAAGGGCAGCUUCCCACUGGGCAAAUGAAAAGGCAGAACCAGGUACAGAGCCACCCAAAGGCUUCCUAGAUCUACCUCUGAUCAGGGCACUGAACACUCAUGGGCCCAGCAGGACUUCUCUCAGCAAAGGUCUUAAAGCUUUCAUCCUAGAACAUGGCACCCCAUAAAAGCACCCUGACCUGUUCAGUGACCCUGGAAUACCUGAAAAGAUCCACAAGACCUGGCUUCCCAGUCGUGAGCACAGGACCCAGCUAAUGGAUCACCUUCACCUCAGUUUCAAUUCAAAGAACACACUUUUUUCCUGGACCUGCCCCCAGCUGUCCCUCCAUGUGCACAGCAGAGUGAGUCUCACCUUGAAUGUCCCCAUGGUCAAGAAGACCAGACACACAACUUCAUAAAGAGGGUACCUAUUAUCCGCUAUUAUUUAACUUCUCAGAAUGCCUGAAGCUUCAUGGACCCUACCAAACAAAGCCCCCAUUUGCCCCAGGCCAUCUUGUGAACAAAGUGUCAAUAAACAUAGCCAUGGUCACC
rnacentral:lncRNA from 1 species